GGUAAAAUGGACGAGGAUAAGCAAUGAACUGUAAAUUCAAAGACAGAGACUAGAUAUCAGAGACUAGAUAUCUCUUUUUACCA
rnacentral:tRNA from 1 species